AUACUUACCUGGCAGGGAGAUACCAUGAUCACAGGUGGUUUUCCCAGGGCAGAGGCUUAUCCAUUGCACUCCCGGAUGUGCUGACCCCUGCGAUUUCCCCAAAUGUAGAAGCUCUGUGACUGCAUAAUUUGUGGUAAUUGGGGGACUGCGUUCGCGCUUUCCUGAA